ACGCGACCCCAGGUCAGGCGGGGCUACCC
rnacentral:rRNA from 7 species